rnacentral:rRNA from 1 species
AGAGUUUGAUCCUGGCUCAGGACGAACGCUGGCGGCGUGCCUAAUACAUGCAAGUCGAGCGAGCUUGCCUAGAUGAUUUUAGUGCUUGCACUAAAAGAAACUAGAUACAAGCGAGCGGCGGACGGGUGAGUAGCACGUGGGUAACCUGCCCAAGAGACUGGGAUAACACCUGGAAACAGAUGCUAAUACCGGAUAACAACACUAGACGCAUGUCUAGAGUUUAAAAGAUGGUUCUGCUAUCACUCUUGGAUGGACCUGCGGUGCAUUAGCUAGUUGGUAAGGUAACGGCUUACCAAGGCAAUGAUGCAUAGCCGAGUUGAGAGACUGAUCGGCCACAUUGGGACUGAGACACGGCCCAAACUCCUACGGGAGGCUGCAGUGGGGAAUCUUCCGCAAUGGACGAAAGUCUGACGGAGCAACGCCGCGUGAGUGAAGAAGGCUUUCGGGUCGUAAAACUCUGUUGUUGGAGAAGAAUGGUCGGCAGAGUAACUGUUGUCGGCGUGACGGUAUCCAACCAGAAAGCCACGGCUAACUACGUGCCAGCAGCCGCGGUAAUACGUAGGUGGCAAGCGUUAUCCGGAUUUAUUGGGCGUAAAGCGAGCGCAGGCGGUUUCUUAAGUCUGAUGUGAAAGCCCUCGGCUUAACCGAGGAAGUGCAUCGGAAACUGGGAAACUUGAGUGCAGAAGAGGACAGUGGAACUCCAUGUGUAGCGGUGAAAUGCGUAGAUAUAUGGAAGAACACCAGUGGCGAAGGCGACUUUCUGGACGAAAACUGACGCUGAGGCUCGAAAGCAUGGGUAGCGAACAGGAUUAGAUACCCUGGUAGUCCAUGCCGUAAACGAUGAAUGCUAGGUGUUGGAGGUUUCCGCCCUUCAGUGCCGCAGCUAACGCAUUAAGCAUUCCGCCUGGGGAGUACGACCGCAAGGUUGAAACUCAAAGGAAUUGACGGGGGCCCGCACAAGCGGUGGAGUAUGUGGUUUAAUUCGACGCAACGCGAAGAACCUUACCAGGUCUUGACAUUGAUGGACAGAACCAGAGAUGGUUCCUCUUCUUCGGAAGCCAGAAAACAGGUGGUGCACGGUUGUCGUCAGCUCGUGUCGGGAGAUGUUGGGUUAAGUCCCGCAACGAGCGCAACCCCUAUCUUAUGUUGCCAGCACUUCGGGUGGGAACUCAUGAGAGACUGCCGCAGACAAUGCGGAGGAAGGCGGGGAUGACGUCAAGUCAUCAUGCCCCUUAUGACCUGGGCUACACACGUACUACAAUGGGCUUUAAUAGAGGGACGCGAAGCCGCGAGGUGGAGCAAACCCCAGAAACAAGCUCUCAGUUCGGAUCGUAGGCUGCAACUCGCCUACGUGAAGUCGGAAUCGCUAGUAAUCGCAGGUCAGCAUACUGCGGUGAAUACGUUCCCGGGCCUUGCACUCACCGCCCGUCA